rnacentral:rRNA from 1 species
AACGAACGCUGGCGGCAGGCUUAACACAUGCAAGUCGAACGCCCCGCAAGGGGAGUGGCAGACGGGUGAGUAACGCGUGGGAACAUACCCUUUUCUACGGAAUAGCUCUGGGAAACUGGAAUUAAUACCGUAUACGCCCUACGGGGGAAAGAUUUAUCGGGGAAGGGUUGGCCCGCGUUGGAUUAGCUAGUUGGUGGGGUAAAGGCCUACCAAGGCGACGAUCCAUAGCUGGUCUGAGAGGCUGAUCAGCCACAUUGGGACUGAGACACGGCCCAAACUCCUACGGGAGGCAGCAGUGGGGAAUAUUGGACAAUGGGCGCAAGCCUGAUCCAGCCAUGCCGCGUGAGUGAUGAGGGCCUUAGGGUUGUAAAGCUCUUUCACCGAUGAAGAUAAUGACGGUAGUCGGAGAAGAAGCCCCGGCUAACUUCGUGCCAGCCGCCGCGGUAA